rnacentral:lncRNA from 1 species
ACAAUUAGUGGUGCGGAAUCAAGAACACAAUACAAAGCUAAUGAACCGAUUAGAAAUCAAGGACAAUACAAUUGCACCGAUUGAAAUUAAGAAACAAACACAUUGCACCGAUUAAAAUUGAAAGAACCGAAUAGAAAACAAGAACAACAACACAAGACAUAUUUAGAAUUUUGAAAUGGAAUGGAAAUGGAAUUGGAAGAUGAAUGAUAGGAAAACUUAUGUGGUUGAAGCUAGGAAGAGGUUCACGCCACUUGGAAGGUGAAUAGGCUCGAAGAUAAGUGAGGUUGCCGCCACUUGAGAGCUCCCAAACACUCAUAAGAUAAGACUAAGCUAGGAGAAAAGGGUCUCACUAAUUCUCACUCAAUUUGAGUAUAGUAACUUUACUUCAAUUUCAAUGUGUUUUUACAUGAACCAAGCAGCCCUAUUUAUAGUAUUAGUGUUUUGAUCAAAGAAAAUAGGUGGGAAAUUCAAAUGAAACCCAUUUGAAAUUGCCGCCUAAUACAAGUCACAUGUAAGGUGUAACUUCACAUGGAAAGUGUGACUUUGCUACUUCUUCUCAUAAGUCCUAAACUCAUAUCCACACCUCCCUUUUAUGUUCUUUUUAAAUCUACUCUAAUGAAAUUACAAAAAGAGACAUCAAUUGAUGCUCAUCUCGUAAUACUUGUUCCUUCCUUCUAGUAAUCCUCCGAGGCAUGGUGGAUGAUGUAAUCAUGGAUUGGGCUUGGGUUUCAAAUUGGACUUAGCGUUGUUGGGCUUGGGCCUCCGGUGUCCUCUCUUUUUGGUCCUCAUCAUAUAAUGACUCAGUUUAAGAAAUACUGUUAUGAAGAUUAUUUAUAAAAAAAUAGAAAGAUUUAAGGAUUAAUUAGAAUAAAACAAAACUUUUUACUGUAGGAUAAACUACAUUAAAUAAACCUUAUUCUUGAUAAACAGCUGCAAGCCUGAUCCGAAAUUUAUUUCAGUAAAAAAAAUACAGUUGCAUGUUACACAGGUGUAAAAAAAUAUUAAAAGAAAUUAGUUCUAAACUCCUAUCCACGCCUCCCUUUUAUGUUCUUUUUAAAUCUACUCUAAAGAAAUUACAAAAAGAGACAUCAAUUGAUGCUCAUCUCCUAAUGCUUGUACCUUCUUUCUAGUAAUCCUCUGAAACAUGGUGGAUGAUGUAAUCAUGGGUUGGGCUUGGGUCUCAAAUUGGACUUGGCAUUGUUGGGCUUGGGCCUCAGGCGUCCUCUCUCUUUGGUACUCAUCAUAUAACACUACAAGAAAAUCAUGAAAUAGAAACCAACUUUUUAGAGACCAAAAUAAUUUGCAAUUGUAACUAAAUUAGAGACUAAUUUAAAAAUAAAAAUAAAAAAUUUGUUUCUAAAUUAUUUUCUAUUAUUGUUAAAUAGUUUCUAAAUUGGUAUCUAAUUAGCAACCAAGAUUUUAGAGACCAAAUAUAGAAACUAAAUAAUUGGUAGUUAAAACCUUGGUUGCUAAUUAGAUACCAAUUUAGAAACCAUUUAAUAAUAAUAGAAAUUUCAUAAUACUGUCCAGCCAAACUCUGUAUCUUACUCUGCACACAAAUUCGGUCCAACAAAAAUCAUGAAUGAAUCCAAUACUCAAGAAAACAUAAAAAAAAAACUUGUAUUCUGGCGAGGCAAACAGAAGAAUCGUUAUCCUUAAAACUUUACAAAGUGAUGGAAACCAAGUAGAGGAUGCUCAAGGCCAUGAAGCCCAAGCCCAACAAGGGGCCCAAGCCCAUCAAGGGGUCCAAGCCCAACAAGGGGCCCAAGCCCAACGAAUUACUAGGAGCAUGGCAAGAGCUUUGGGACAAGAGUAUAAUAAAAUGGCUCUUCUUAUUUCUUUUGUAGAAUAGGGGUGUGAAUGUAAUAAAAAGGUGUAAGUAGUAAGGGGGUCUAGGGGGGAGUGUAGAUAGGAGCCUAGGGGGUGCCAAUCUAGGAAGGAAAGUCACACUUCCUUCAUUGUCUAGAUUGGCGCCGAAUUUCAUUGCAUUUGUGUGCCAUUUAGCUUGCAUUUUCAGCACCUCUAGGCUAUAAAUAAAGGUGCUUAGCUUGUACAAUUCAGAUUGGAAUUUUAUAGUAGAGAGACUAUACUCAAAUUUGGAGAGAAAUUGUGAGUCUUGGGUCUUCUUCUUCCUUUGCCUUAUCUUGUAAGCAAUGGUGAGCUUCAAGUGGCGGCACUCCAUCACUUAUCUUGGAACAAGGAACCAAGUGGCGUGAAUGGCUUCUCCAAUUCUCAAAAUCCAGCAAGCUUCUUCUAUAAGUGUUCUUCUUCCUUUUCUUCAAUUUUCAUUCGGUAGUUUUUAAUUUCCUAGUCUUUCCUUUCAUUUGCACCGUUUAAAUUUGUGUUUCCAACUUUGUUUCUUUGAUGCUGUUCGGUUUAGUAGCUUAGCAUUUCAAUUCUGUCCAGCUUUUCAAUUCUUGUUCUUCAUUCCUUGUGUUUGAUUCCAUUUGACAAUAUAUGGACUUCCAUAUGAGCUUUGGUUUGGUGCAAAGUCUUGGUGAGUUCUUGAAUUAGAACAUUGAUCCAAUUCUAAGUAAAGUGCCAUUUCAUGACCAACUCAAGUUGCUUCUAAGAAUGUCAAAGAAUCAUGUAUUCUUGCUAUUGCAUUCACAUCACAAAGAUUAUACAAAAUCGAUUUCAGGAAGUGCAAAACAGUUAAGGAUACCUUGAGAGCACUGACUAGAUCGGUGCGAUUGUCUUCAUUGAGGGAUUUACAGGAAAACCAAGCGAAGUGAGAAAAAUUAUAAUUGAAAAAAAUUAGGGAGAAACAGAGAUAUGACACGAUAUAAAAAACACAUAGCAAUUGAAGAAUCUGAGUCGAAACACAUCGUUCAGUGCUGUAAGAGAAAGAAAUCAAAUUGGAGAGAGAGAAAAGGUAGAAAAGAACUCACCGAUUGAAGGGAGAACGAGAAGAAGAAGCCUGUGAGGAAAAGGUACCAAUGAAUAGAAUCGAUACCUAUCAACAAAAUCAUAAUCAAACUCUUGAUUAAGCUAUACAUAUGCAAAACUAAUUAACAUUAAACUCAUAGAAACAGAAGAAGAAAAAACUAAUUAUUACCUUUGUUCGGCCUUCUUCAAAUUAGGAUUCCAAGAUCGUCAAAUAAAUAACAAACAUCACAUCACUAAUCGCGAAACAUACUUGCGCUUUGCAGACAAGCGGUUCUGUGGUGGAGCGAAGGUUGAAGCAAGUUCCUUGGUGGAGUAGCAGAACCAUGUUUCGUGCUGGAAUAGUAGAAGCACGUUUCGUGUUGAAGCAGUAGAAACAAAGGUCCAGUGGUGUGCGAUGGGAGUGAGGUGCGAGUUGGACAAAAAUGAGACUGAAGAAAAGAGAAGAUGGAAAUGAAAGGCGAGUUUAGGUCUACCGGAAGUGAAGAGGAAAUGAAAAAAAAUAAGGAAAAAAGAAGA